rnacentral:lncRNA from 1 species
UCAACAAAUAAACAUUCAAACCCAUUAAAUAAUAAAUCCAAAGCAUUAAUCAAGUUGAAAAACUCAAAACCAUCCUAAUCAAGUCUAAACUAGCUAAUAAAAUAUCACAAAAUAAAUUCAAAAAAUAUCUUAAAGUCUAAACAUACCAUAACUUUUAAAGUAUAAACAUCCCAACAAUAACAAACAACCACAACAACCUACUCCUCAUCAAAUUCAGUCUCUUCGUCAUUAGAAGAUUGAAGCAUGUGUUCCUCCAGAAACUUUUCACUAUUUUACAUCUGUUCAUAUUGAAGUCAUAUCAUCGCUUGACAAUUGAAUUUGGGGUACCAUCCUGAGAAGCAUGUUGUAUUUGGAGCUAUUCAGCCAAACUUCUAUGAUAUCCUUCCUGAAAUAAAAAUAAGAAGCAUAAUAUAUAAAAAGUUAAACUAAUAUGAAAGAAAACACAAUAAACUUAAAGUUAUGAUCUUCCAUGUCUCCUCUCCAUGUGGCUUCACCCAUCCUUCUCUUGAAUCGUCCUUCUUCUUUUUCUUAUUGUUUCCACAAAGACCUCAACAUAAGGCAUUGGUCAUCCUUUUAAUUUUUCCUGAAAAAUUAAUAAAUAAGAGUUGGAUAAUAGCUCAAUCCAAUUAAAUAAGACCAAGUAAAAUAAAAGUAAAAAUUACCAUUCUCUGUCGAUGCAGAGAAAAAUUUAUAGAUCUUGUGGUUUGCAACGAGCAAACGUUUUGAGAGGCUCAGAUUGUGUUUGCUCGUUCACUCUUCAUCUUAAAUUUAGGAGCCUCCCACUUCUCUAAAAAGAUUAUCCAUGCAUCUUUUCAUAUCCAAUCAGUUUUUGUUUUAGC